GGUGAGAGGAAGAAGUGACUAAUGUUUUAAAUGAGGAGGAAGUGGUGACUAGUGACAGAGUGAAAAAGGGGGUGACUAGUGACAGAGGGAGGGGUGACUAGGGACAGAGUGAGGGAGGUGGUGACUAGUGACAGUCACCACCUCCCUCUCUGUCACCAGUCAUCCCCUCACUCUGUCCCUAGUCACCCCUUCCUUCCCUCACUCUGCCACUAGUUACCCCUUCCCUCACUCUGUCACCGCCUCACUCUGUCACUAGUCACCCCCUCACUCUGUCACUAGUCACCCCCUCACUCUAGUGACAGAGUG